CGCACACACACACACACACACAGAGAGAGAGAGACAUAUAUAUAUGUUCAUAUCUAGAUUGUCUGAACGAGACUUCAAAAGAACUCAAGAUUACCUGAUACUCCGUCCCUCCUGGACAUACUGAUAAAGAAAAAUGAAAGUGGUGAUUCUGAUGGCUCUCCUUGUGCUCACAGCUCACUGUGUACCAGUAUCAAGAUUCCCUGGCAGGAUUGUCCUCUACUGUCCUUUCUUCAACUGGAAGCACUGCCAGAGGUUCUGUGAAUUCUUUAAAAUCUGUAGGAAACCUCCAGUGAACAGAAGAACUACCGCGGUCCCAUCAGUUCCACUCACAACAGAAGCUGGCCUUUCUCUGACUGGGGGUCCUCUUACCCCCGACAGGCGGGGAGAUUCGAGAUAGUACAGUUCCUCACAGCCCAGAGAAGCCUCCCCCCCACACAGUGCCUUUGCUACAGUCCGGUCAUGCUUCCUGCUCCUCCACCACAGUGACUCCUCCUUACAUGAUGCGUCAAUAAAAAGCUUACAU